AAAACAGUUAUAAGUUAAUAAAUAAUAAUGUCACAUUAAAUUUGAAAUUAUAUUAUUCAUAAAACCAAAAUAGUUGGUAUUAAACCCAAAAAGAAAGAGGACCGGGGUUAGGUCUGUACUCUUUUGUUUCGUCCCACAUGGAUGCGAAGGGUUAAAGAAAGCCGGUAUAAAUAGAACAGAGAGGGAAGAAGAAGCACGACCUUACUUGAACAGGAUCUGUUCUAUAGGCUCGUACCUCUGUAUUCUUGAUUCCUAAGAAGACAGAAACCCAUGUCUGGUUGAUGAACCACGACCAUGUAGCCAGAGCGUGAUUAACAGAGCUUCAUGGUCUCGGCUAUGGCUCAGUAGAUGAUCGUUGCCAAUCCAUCUGAUGGGUCCUGGCAUGGCUACAUGGUUGUCUGACAGACAAUCUCUUUCUUUUUGGUCUGGUGAUGUUUGACGAAAUUCUUUUUGGCUAAAUUGGAGAUGCAGAGCAAGUGUUCGAUGAAAUGCCCUGAAAAAGAUUAAUGUAUUCUAUUCUACCUGCCAUGACUCUUAGAGGAACAUUAUUAGAACUUGAGUGGUUUUUGUGCCAGAAUUUAGACGCCCUUUCUUGAAAUUCCGGUGGUCGCCGGAAAACGAGGGAGGCGGCAGCUAUCAAGAUUCCGGCGGUUAGAGCCCAUAUCACAUACACCCUGUUAUUUGUUUUAUGAGAAAAAUAGUGAAGCAAGUAUUUGUCUCCCCUAUGUUCUUUCUCUUCAUGUCGUCUGUUUUCAUCCUUGAGAAACAUUUCUAAAGGAGCAUAGAAUAUGGAUUCCACUUCUCCAACAUUUGGAAGCGGAUUAAA